rnacentral:rRNA from 1 species
GACGAACGCUGGCGGCGUGCUUAACACAUGCAAGUCGAACGGAAAGGCCUCUUUCGGGGGGUACUCGCGUGGCGCACGGGUGAGUAACACGUGAGUAACCUGCCCUUGACUUUGGGAUAACUUCAGGAAACUGGGGCUAAUACCGGAUAGGAGCUCCUGCUGCAUGGUGGGGGUUGGAAAGUUUCGGCGGGGGGGGAUGGACUCGCGGCUUAUCAGCUUGUUGGUGGGGUGGUGGGUUACCAAGGCUUUGACGGGUAGCCGGCCUGAGAGGGUGACCGGCCACAUUGGGACUGAGAUACGGCCCAGACUCCUACGGGGGGCAGCAGGGGGGAAUAUUGCACAAUGGGUGGAAGCCUGAUGCAGCAACGCCGGGUGCGGGAUGACGGCCUUCGGGUUGUAAACCGCUUUCGCUCAGGACGAAGCUUUGUGUGACGGUAGUGGGUAAAGAAGCACCGGCUAACUACGUG